UCCUAUCAGCUUUAGACGGUAGGGUAUUGGCCUACAGUGGCAAUGACGGGUAACGGGGAAUUAGGGUUCGAUUCCGGAGAGGGAGCCUGAGAAACGGCUACCACAUCUAAGGAAGGCAGCGGGCGCGCAAAUUACCCAAUCCUAAUACAGGGAGGUAGUGACAAGAAAUAACAAUACAGGACUUAAUUGUUUUGUAAUUGGAAUGAGUUAAGUAUAAACCCCUUUACAAGUAUCAAUUGGAGGGCAAGUCUGGUGCCAGCAGCCGCGGUAAUUCCAGCUCCAAUAGCGUAUAUUAAAGUUGUUGCAGUUAAAAAGCUCCUAGUUGGAUUUCUGUUAAUAUUUUAUAUUAUUAAUUUAUUAUUAUUAAUAUAAUAUUAACGUAACUCAUAUUACUUUUUUUUAAGUAUAUGAAAUUUUACUUUGAGAAAAUUAGAGUGCUUAAAGCAGGCUUUUGCCUUGAAUACUCCAGCAUGGAAUAAUAUUGAAGAUUUUUAUCUUUCUUAUUGGUUCUAAGAUAGAAAUAAUGAUUAAUAGGGACAGUUGGGGGCAUUUGUAUUUAACAGUCAGAGGUGAAAUUUCUUAGAA
rnacentral:rRNA from 1 species